GCAUUAGUGGGGUAGUGGUAACCUGGGUCGUUGCCAUAAGGCGAAUCGCAGUAUUGAUUCGACCCGCCGGGAGUUCGAUUCUCUCCUAAUGCA